UACGUAGGUGGCAAGCGUUGUCCGGAUUUACUGGGCGUAAAGAGCGCGCAGGCGGUCGUUCAAGUCGCGUGUGAAAGCCCCCGGCUCAACUGGGGAGGGUCACGCGAUACUGAUCGACUGGAAGGCUGGAGAGGGUAGUGGAAUUCCCGGUGUAGUGGUGAAAUGCGUAGAUAUCGGGAGGAACACCAGUGGCGAAGGCGACUACCUGGCCUGUUCUUGACGCUGAGGCGCGAAAGCUAGGGGAGCAAACGGG
rnacentral:rRNA from 1 species